AACGAACGCUGGCGGCGUGCCUAACACAUGCAAGUCGUGCGAGAAAGUUCCUUCGGGAGCGAGUAAAGCGGCGCACGGGUGAGUAACACGUAGGUAACCUGCCCCCCAGUCUGGAACAACUAGAGGAAACUCUAGCUAAUGCCGGAUGAGACCACGAUCCCUUCGGGGGUUGCGGCCAAAGAUGGCCUCUACUUGUAAGCUAUCGCUGAGGGAUGGGCCUGCGGGCCAUUAGCUUGUUGGUGAGGUAACGGCUCACCAAGGCUGUGAUGGCUAGCUGGUCUGAGAGGAUGACCAGCCACACUGGGACUGAGACACGGCCCAGACUCCUACGGGAGGCAGCAGUGGGGAAUAUUGCGCAAUGGGCGAAAGCCUGACGCAGCGACGCCGCGUGGGUGAUGAAGGCCUUGGUCGGUAAGACCUGUCGCAGGGAAGGAAGUAAAGGACAUACGGUAGUAAUA
rnacentral:rRNA from 1 species